GUUGGGGCAACCUGGCAGUCAGUGGCGGACGGGUGAGUAAUGCAUCGGAACGUGUCCCGUAGUGGGGGAUAACCCGGCGAAAGCCGGACUAAUACCGCAUAUGCUCUACGGAGGAAAGCGGGGGACCUGAAAGGGCCUCGCGCUAGGGGAGCGGCCGAUGUCCGAUUAGCUUGUUGGUGGGGUAAUGGCCUACCAAGGCGACGAUCGGUAGCUGGUCUGAGAGGAUGAUCAGCCACACUGGGACUGAGACACGGCCCAGACUCCUACGGGAGGCAGCAGUGGGGAAUUUUGGACAAUGGGGGCAACCCUGAUCCAGCCAUGCCGCGUGCGGGAAGAAGGCCUUCGGG
rnacentral:rRNA from 1 species